CACACAUCAAAGUCAGAUACUGGAGUGUACUGGUGUGAGUCUGGAUCAGGAGAGUUCAGCAGUGCAGUCAACAUCACUGUACAGAAUGAUGGUAAUGGUCCUAUCCUGGUGAGUCCUGUUCAUCCUGUGACUGAGGGAGCUUCUGUUAGUCUGAGCUGCAGUUUGAGAACACAAAAAAUACUUUCCAAUGUGUUUUUCUAUCACAAUGACAAACUUAUUCAAAAUGAUCCCCGAGGGGAGCUGAAGAUCUCUGCAGUGUCAAAGUCUGAUGAAGGUUUCUACAAGUGUCAGUACUCAGGAAGAGAGUCAGCACAGAGCUGGAUGUCAGUUAAAG